GCGGGCGAAGCGCCGCCGUCACCAUCCCCAGGAGACGACGGCGGGGUGCGCUAAGUGCUGAAUUUCCUGCAUUUCAACUGUUGCAGUGCAAAGAUGAAACAGAGGAUGCUGAUGUCGCUUUUACCACUACAAGACAUUUGUGAGGACUGAGUCCAUCACGGCUGAUCCCUCAUGUCUGCAACUUCAAACCCCGUGAGAUGCAGCAUAGGCCUGGCUCCAGCCACGUCUAACUCACACACCUGCCUGGUUGAACAGUAAAAGAAUGUGAGCAGGAACAUACCAUCUUUGUUUUACAUGACGCAUUCCUAGGGUGCAUGGUGACUAAAGAGUUAUCUGUGCAGACACACAAGAGUUUAAUGAGUUUCAGAAGGAAGGUGAAUU